rnacentral:sRNA from 1 species
GGUGGGGGCCAGCCCCACACAGGCGGGAGGGGUGGGAGUUGGGGGCGGGCCGGGCAUCGCGAUGGGCCCCGAUGCCACCCCUGCUCCUGUGUCCCAGAUCAUCGACCCCUUUGUGGAGGUGGAGAUCAUUGGGCUCCCUGUGGACUGCAGCAGGGAGCAGACCCGCGUGGUGGACGACAACGGGUUCAACCCCACCUGGGAGGAGACCCUGGUUUUCACGGUGCACAUGCCGGAGAUCGCGCUGGUCCGCUUCCUUGUCUGGGACCACGAUCCCAUCGGGCGUGACUUCAUUGGCCAGAGGACGCUGGCCUUCAGCAGCAUGAUGCCAGGCUACAGACACGUGUACCUGGAGGGGAUGGAAGAGGCCUCCAUCUUCGUGCAUGUGGCUGUCAGUGACAUCAGCGGUAAGGUCAAGCAGGCUCUGGGCCUAAAAGGCCUCUUCCUCCGAGGCCCAAAGCCCGGCUCGCUGGACAGUCAUGCUGCUGGGCGGCCCCCGGCCCGGCCCUCCGUUAGCCAGCGGAUCCUGCGGCGCACGGCCAGCGCCCCGACCAAGAGCCAGAAGCCGGGCCGCAGGGGCUUCCCGGAGCUGGUCCUGGGCACACGGGACACAGGCUCCAAGGGGGUGGCAGACGACGUGGUGCCCCCCGGGCCCGGACCUGCUCCGGAAGCCCCAGCCCAGGAGGGGCCUGGCAGCGGCAGCCCCCGAGUUAGGAACUGAGAGCGGCGAGUGACAGACACCCGCCCCCUCUCCACGCAGCGGCCGCUCCCCCCACUGUGCAGCCUGGAAACCAUUGCUGAGGAGCCCGCCCCAGGCCCUGGUCCCCCGCCACCAGCGGCUGUCCCCACCAGCUCUUCUCAGGGACGGCCCCCAUACCCCACAGGACCCGGAGCCAAUAUGGCAAACCCCCCAGAGGACACUGAGGAGCCCCGAGACAGCAGGCCUCAGCCGUGCAACGGCAAGGGCGCCGGCGGGGCAUACGAGGGGGCCCCCGGCAGCCAGACGGACGGCAGGAGCCAGCCCCGGACCCUGGGCCACCUGCCCGUGAUUAGAAGGGUGAAGAGUGAGGGGCAGGUGCCCACGGAGCCCCUGGGAGGGUGGCGGCCCCUGGCCGCUCCCUUUCCAGCUCCUGCCGUGUACUCCGACGCCACGGGCAGUGACCCGCUGUGGCAGCGACUGGAGCCGUGUGGCCACCGAGAUAGCGUUUCCUCCUCCUCCAGCAUGUCAUCCAGCGACACUGUCAUUGACCUCUCCCUGCCCAGCCUGGGCCUGGGCCGCAGCCGUGAGAACCUCGCUGGAGCCCACAUGGGACGCCUGCCCCCCAGGCCCCACUCGGCUUCGGCUGCCCGCCCAGACCUGCCACCUGUGACCAAGAGCAAAUCCAACCCCAACCUUCGGGCUACGGGUCAGCGGCCUCCCAUACCUGACGAACUGCAGCCCAGGCCCCUGGCCCCAAGGAUGGCUGGCCUCCCCUUCCGGCCUCCCUGGGGCUGCCUUUCCCUGGUGGGCCUGCAGGACUGCCCCGUGGCUGCCAAGUCCAAGAGCCUGGGGGACCUCACUGCUGAUGACUUUGCCCCUAGCUUUGAGGGUGGCUCCCGCAGACUGAGCCACAGCCUGGGCCUCCCGGGAGGGACACGGCGGGUGUCGGGGCCAGGGGUGAGACGGGACACCCUGACAGAGCAGCUGCGCUGGCUCACUGUCUUCCAGCAGGCAGGAGACAUCACGUCACCCACCAGCCUGGGCCCGGCUGGGGAGGGGGUGGCAGGGGGCCCUGGUUUUCUGCGGCGCUCCUCCUCCCGCAGCCACAGCCGCGUGCGUGCCAUUGCCAGCCGGGCCCGCCAGGCCCAGGAGCGGCAGCAGAGACUGCAGGGCCUGGGCCGGCAGGGACCCCCAGAAGAGGAGCGGGGCACCCCCGAGGGCGCCUGCUCCGUGGGCCACGAGGGCAGUGUGGAUGCACCAGCACCCUCCAAGGGAGCCCUCGGGCCAGCAUCCGCGGCUGCUGAAAACCUGGUCCUGCUCUGCCUCUGACCGUCAGUGGUGGGAACCUGGGCGGCUCUGGAGGCCCAGGGCAGGGGUGGGCGUGUUGUUUGCUCAGGAAACAGGGCAGCCAGGCCCCCAAAACUGUGUGUCCCUGGCUGCCCUGUGUCCCCUCCGCCCCUGCCUCCCUCCUGCCCCUGCUCCCGGGGAGGAAAGGCUAAAGCUGCUGGCCCGGGGCCCACGGGAGGGGCUUCGAGGCUGGCCCUGCCAGGCAGUUUUCCCGGCGUUUUAGGAUCUGUACAUAGAGAAAUAUUUAAAUUUUUAGAAGCAAAACUUAUACAACAUUAAAAUGAUACCAAGUCCCUU